ACCUUCCCUGUCAUGUUGAGCUUGCCCUGGCAUCCAUGAGUGGAGCUUGGGCUAGCACUAGUGCGACGGAGGCACAGAAGGCGAGUGUGGGGGCCCAGUUCCUCUGGCUCAGCAUGGGGGGAGGUGGGCCACCACAGUCACAGCCUGCUAAUAGGCCUGAUCGGAGAAUAGUCAUAAAGGCCAAGCAGAUAAAGAUCGAGUGGUCCUGAGGGGCCAUGGAGGGAGGUAUCAGGGUAUAUGAGUUUGUCGGGGCAGUAACCCCCAGGACAACUGUAGGGCUUCCCCUAGCCAAGGUAACAACUUGGUGGUAAAUUGAAACAAAGCUCACAGAUGAUAAAUUUUAUUUUAGACUAAGUUAAAUACAUAUUCACAUUCCUCCAAAGUGAGCAACAUUUAAAUGUCAUGUAUGAAGGAUCUGAGUGAUAUUUUGAGUGUGGUACAGUUAUAAGUUAAUAAGAAACAAAAUGCAUGUACAUGCAUGUAUACCAUUUAGACUAAACACUAGUGCUGUACACAUAAAGCCAAAUUCACUAGGUUGUUUUGAAUGAAAAUUAGUGGGAUAAAAGUGGCUAGAGGACUGUAAAUGCAUAUCUAGAUCUCAACCUCAUUUACUCUAUUAUUAGUUCUAUCUUAUUGGGAUUAUCACUCGUUAGUACAGAUGGGAUAUUAAUAUGUUCGGUUAGUGUACACCACAAAUUUUUAGACUAAAGGAGUUUUGUUUUCCUUUCUCAAUAUCUUUCUGGUGAAUGAAAAUCAGGAAGGGAUAAGAAUGUAUAAUUGCCAAUUGGGAUUGUAUUGUUGAAGUAAACAGACUAGAACUAUUUUACAGAUUAACUAAACAUGAGAGUGGAAUUUAUGAGAGGUGUUAUUCGUGUGAUUAGAACAGUAGAGGUAGGUUACUUUAGUAAUUUUUAAAUGAUUUGAUAGACCAACAUUAUUUAAUCUCUGCAGCAAUAUUUCCUGAUUCACUGUGUUGAGAGCCUCUUCUAAAUCAACAGACAGGGAAGUGCAGAGGGUACCGUGACAUUGUCUUAAGACUUUCAAAACUUUUCAAAAGUUGUGCUGAUAUGUUUAUAUGACCUUAGACUUCUUGCAGACUGAUAACAUGUGAACGGUUCACUGAAAAAGCUUUCUACAAGGGACAUAGGCGAGGAGGCCUUGUUAUUGGAUUGUAAUGAUUUAAUAUAGGUGGAUGUCCCUGAUUUAAUGUAAUAAAUAAAAUACAAUAAAUAAAUAAAUAAAUGAGAAAGCUGAUUUCCAAAGGUCUGGCAUAACCCCAUUGUCUAAUGAAAGAUUAAAAUGAUAAAUUAAAAGAGAUGAAAUAAUAUCAACUGCUAAGUUUAGAAAUACAGACUCCACACAAUCAGGGCCUUGUGAUGUGUUUAUAUCGAACUUGAGUGAUCUGUAAACAUCGGAAGUCUUAACACGUUAAAAACUGAACUCCUCAUUUUGAAUUGUUUUUAAUAGCUUCCUGCUUUAUUAAAAUCAGGGUAUAAUAAAUCACGAUAAAUAUUUACCGUUUUAAGGCCUAGAUCUGAUGCAUAAAUUGAACAUUUAAAGAUGGGUUUUUCAGUUGUGUGUUCCCAGUUGUCUGUCUCCAGUUUCCAGUACUAUUGUUCUGUAAACAAUAUCUUCGAUCCUCAGAAAAGGAUGAAGGGACAUGCCCACUUAGUCUAAUAUUAUUACAGCAAGCUGUGAUAACAAAUGCGAUAAGUUCUGCAACCCAACCAACCCACCCAGUAACCAUUAUCUAUAGUAUGAUGUAUAUACAGUAUAUAUAUGUAUAUAUAUAUAUAAGAUGUCCCAAUUGUAACCUGUAACUGUAAUUCCAUUCCAUAUGAUAUUAUUAUUGAUCAGCGCUUUUUCCAAGUGACUGCAUGUGAGAGCUCAAGGCCGUUACUCCCCUUAACAAUUCCUAGAUCAGUAGUACACCUGGAAGUGUCUCCUUCGGGGGCUGGGGGCUCCCCUGUGGUGUACUCCUCUGUGGUCAUAGACUCCCUUGCACGCUCCCAAGGCCGUCAGGACAUGAUUGGGGUCAUCCUCCGCCCCAUAAAAGCACAACAAAUGUUCCUGGACGUUAUCAAGUAUGGUCUGCAGUAGAUCACUGAUUGCUCACUAAAGGACAACAUCCUGGGAUCCGGGUGUUCUUUGGACAAGCCUGACAUUGAAUGGACCUAUGCUUUGCACCUGUACUAUGGCUGGCAAACUACAACAAAGACUGUGUCUUACAUGUGACUGAAAAGGGGGGGUGCUGCUGGGGGGGUCCCGGCUCAGGAGAAUGGGGCGCUUACAGGGCUGUAGUUUAUGUAUUGAAAACAUUGGAUUUGGUGGCACAAGGAUUGCCAGGCUGGAGAUGCUCUCUUCGUGCGGAUCAUUGGGAAAAUUGCUCUCUCACACAUCGAUCUUACGUUCAUCACACCAGGUCAUUUCUAUUUUGAAAGAACAGGAUAUGGGGAUAUGGGGUUAAUCUAUGUACCACCCAAACUGAAAUUCCUAAACUUGUUAGUGUGCCUAACACACCAACUGUAGUUUUGUAAUUAAUUCUGUGGAGCCAGUCACUGAGAACACUCACGAUUGCCCAGCCGAAAUUCGUAUUUCCUUGAGCUUAAAAGUUUCGGAUCGGAAAUUUCAGAAACAUUUUGAACACCCUGUUCUGCCCAAUUGGCUGAAUUAAAAGCUAUCACUACAGAGUGCAACCUGGUUAAGGGUAGAAUUGUUAAAAUAUAUAAAUAUACCGAUAAAUACUGACGUUUAGGCCCAUGGAUUGUGUCGUCUGUUUGGAGUUGUUUGAAUGCAAUGAGGUUCUAGGAAAAAAUUGGAACGCCACUUAUCGAACAAAUAGUUUAAUUGAAUUCUAAUUCUGACUGCACUUCUCGCUGUAUGUAUUACAGAUGCCCAUGAUCUUAGCCAGUGUGCGAGGGGGAAGGUAGAGGAAUGGUCUCUGUACUUGCAGGCAACGGUGGAGGAUAAUCUAAGUGUGAUAUUUGUGCUCGAAAAUUUCUUCCUUGACCAGGGAUAGGUCCCAGAUCUGACAUACCAUCUCAAGUUAACGUAAUUUGUGCUGAUACUAAACGUAUUUCAGUAGAUGCUCUACCUCUUGCACUAAUGACCUAGCACAUGCAGACUAACAGCCAUAUGUAUCUAACACCGCAUGAAAUGCUUACGGGUCGACCCAUGUCUGUGUCUGUUCCUUAUGAUGGACUGCCGCUGGAGUAAUUGCAGAUGAAUCAAAAACAUAUAUAAGACCACUAACUAUUAUGUAUGGAGCUAUAUAUUCACAGGAACAGAGCUGAGUGCAGUGUUAUGUGUGAGGCGUCACCGCCUCAACGGGGGGAGGUGUUCACCCGGAGGUGGGAGUCCCGGAGCAUCGAGAGAAUGCUGCCUACAGGGCAGCAGCGGACUAGAACAUGCAACCCCUGGAGGAUGCUCAAUCCUCCAAUGACGAGAUGGUGGGGAACACGUGAAGGUCCGGUACGAAGCUGCUGUGUACGAAACUGCUGUCAACGGGGGGUCUGCUCAGUCAGUGGCAGACAGGAUGAGAAGAUGUGAGGAUCCAUACCCUGGGUGUACGUGCUAGCCUAACCUCUCCCCAAAGGGUGGCUCUCUACAGUACGUAAAGUGCUUGAGCUGAAGACAACCAGCAUACAGAGAGAUACUGCAUACAACAGACUGUCAAGUAUUGUUAUAAAAUGUUAUGAAAUGUUUGUGAUAUGACGCAAUCAGGCACAGAAAAGUAUAAUGGUGCUGCUGAGCACAUAGUGCUGGCAGGGUGGGAAUUUUUCCUCGUAGGAGGUUUUUUCGCCCACCCCUGACUGCGAAAGACUGGGGUUUGGUUUUUGAGGGGAAGCAAGAAUCUGCAGGUCCCGACAAAUACAAAACUGUGGGCUGACAGGCCUAGUUGAGAAAGAUAGGGACGUGUAGAUCAAGUAGUUAGUUACUGUAGUGGCCACUCAUACGUACGGCAGUAGUAGUAGUAAUGACUGAUUAGGGGAACUCAGUUAAUCACACUUAUAAUCGAUGUAGGCAAACAAACGUAUAAUCAAGGUAGUUAGAUUCGAAAGGAGAUAUAUAUUCAUAGUUGAAAGGAGAAGUAGGUUAAGGGUUAAGAGUUAUGGCUAUGUACAUCUACACAUGUCCGGCGCAAAGUGGAUGUAGGGGGGUCCUAAGGCCCAUUCUCCAGCUGCCAAUCUACUAUGAGACCCCGGGGCGCACCACACUAGCACGUCUCCCACCAGGUCUACAAAACCUCCUCAGCUCCUAUUCGGAUCAGUGUUGCGUAGAAGUGGUUAAUGUAAGGGACCCAUUUGAGUACGGGGACGGGCGCAGGGAUUAUGGCUUCGUUAGAGUAAUCCUCCGACAGCUAGCGGGGGACGGCCAUGGGGUGCGGCAGAAUCAGUUCCUCCACGCUUAAUUAAGGUAUUGUAUGAGGCUUCAUAGCCUCAGAGGGGGAAAUGUUGUGGAUAAAAAAUGUCAUAAAAUAAACAUAAGGGAGACCUAGCAUCCAGCAAAGGGGAGAAGAAGAAAAGACGGGCACCUAGACACAUAGAAGCGGGAUUAGGCGGACAUUGACAAAUUGGAAUUACACUUUAAAGAUCUUUAAGAGCAGUAAUAGUCAAAAAAGUCAAAAAGAGGUAUACGAGCUGAGCUGAGGAGGGCUAAUACACACACACACACACACACACACACACACGCUCGUACAGUCAAGGGCGGGAAAGUAGACACAACAUACACACACACUCUCCCUUUCUCAUACACACACAUGAAUAACUUUAAUAAUAUCUUAUAGUAAUAGAGAAACUCUAUAAAAAACAGAAUAGUAGGAUAUGCAGGACAGUAGAACUGUAAUGAUAUUAAGAAGUUGGAAGUACAGUAAACCGCUUUUCAAGUAGUAUAAAUAUAUAUAAAAUAAGAAAUAUAGUGCAAAUAUGAAAAUAAAUUAUAAACUAGAAAUACAGGAAAAUGUAAACUUACUCAUGACUCAAAUGGUGAGGGUUCUUGGCUCGCAAGGAAGGCCUUAAUUUUAAGAAAGAACCAUGAGGAGCCAGUUAUAAGGGUGGCUGGGUCAAACUGCCCCCCCUCGAGAUAACGAUAAGACCAAGGUCCCUCUAGGUUGUUUAGUCUUGUCCACGGUCUACUCUCUGGGUAAAUGAAAAUGCUGGUUUCUGAUGCCCUAAGGUAACUGAAAAUUCUGGUUUCUGAUGCCCUAGGUAACUGAAAAUUCUGGUUUCUGAUCCUCUGAGUAACUACAAACUCUGGGUUUUUAUUUUCUGGGUUAUUAGAAAUGCCUGGGUUCUGAUUUUAUGUGUAAAUUAAAACCCCUGGUUUCAAUUCUAUGUGUAAGUGAAAUAGGCCUUUUCUGGAACAUAAGAGUAAGGUAAAUGAGCUCUUUUUUAACCCUAUUGGUAGUGAGAUCAUAGUCUUUUUGAAACAUAUGGGUUAUUUAGUGUGUAAAUACAGUAUAAAUACUGGAGCUUAAGCUCAGGGUAGGGGGAUCACUUUUGAGAAUUCUCAUCGGUGUGGAUCUCGUGUGGUGGAAUGGAACAAUAAAGCUGG
ensembl:lncRNA